rnacentral:rRNA from 1 species
GCCUACGGGGGGCAGCAGUAGGGAAUUUUCGUCAAUGGGCGCAAGCCUGAACGAGCAAUGCCGCGUGAACGAGGAAGGUCUUCGGAUCGUAAAGUUCUGUUGAAGGGGAAAAAGAGCGGAGAGAGGAAAUGGUCUCCGAUUGAUAUUACCCUUCGAGGAAGUCACGGCUAACUCCGUGCCAGCAGCCGCGGUAAUACGGAGGGUGCGAGCGUUAAUCGGAAUCACUGGGCGUAAAGCGCGCGUAGGCGGCUUUUCAAGUCAGGGGUGAAAUCCCACGGCCCACCCGUGGAACUGCCUUUGCAACU